rnacentral:rRNA from 1 species
AUUGAACGCUGGCGGCAGGCCUAACACAUGCAAGUCGAGCGAGUGGCGGACGGGUGAGUAAUGUAUGGGGACUGCCCGAUAGAGGGGGAUAACUACUGGAAACGGUGGCUAAUACCGCAUACUAUCGGAUAACCCAUAUGGGAUUAGCUAGGAGGUGGGGUAAAGGCUCACCUAGGCGACGAUCUCUAGCUGGUCUGAGAGGAGCAUCAGCCACACUUGGACGUAGACACGGCCCAGACUCCUACGGAGGGAGCAGGGGGGAAAAUUGCACAAUGGGGGGAAGCCUGGUGCAGCCAUGCCGGGUGUAUGAAGAAGGCCUUAGGGUUGUAAAGUACUUUCAGCGGGGAGGCGUUACCCGCAGAAGAAGCACCGGCUAACUCCGUGCCAGCAGCCGCGGUAAUUA